UUCCAAGGCUACAAAAGGCCUGGGGCGGACGGCGGUGGCGGAGGGUGAGGUGUACGGCGCUGGGCUGCCCGAGGAGAUGGUGAAGACACGAUUCCUGGGGCCUGGUGCUUGCUGGGACGUCUGGACAGCUGAGCAUCACGGUGUUCAGUGUGGUGUUUCCAGGUAUAAGCAGUGACUCGUGUGCUGCCGGGCGCUGGUGUGGACCGACCCGAUGCCGACAGACCGCUUGAGACGAGUAGAGAAACCCUGGACUGCCCCGAAGACACAUGAUUGACGGCCUCACCCAUGCAGACCACUCACCUGCCCCCGCCCUGACUUGUGCUGAGAAGACGUGACGCUGAAUCUUUGGUUUGACGGGUCUUGUUACUCGUCUCCGGAUGAGGCUGACUAUAAACACCGACGCUGUGUGACAUACCCGCCCGGCAAGGAUCGAAGGAUGAAUCGUGAACUGCUUGCAAGAUCCGUCUAUAUAGUAUUUUAUGGGACGUAGAUGUAUUUAAGAACCUAGUAUGUAUUUUACAGGAGAAAAUAAAGGAAGUGACAUCA